CACGCCGUAAACGAUGGGCACUAGGUGCUUGGGGGAGCGACCCCCUGAGUGCCGGCGCUAACGCAUUAAGUGCCCCGCCUGGGGAGUACGGCCGCAAGGCUGAAACUCAAAGGAAUUGACGGGGGCCCGCACAAGCGGUGGAGCAUGUGGUUUAAUUCGACGCAACGCGAAGAACCUUACCUAGGCUUGACAUGCACGGGAAACGCCUCAGAGACGGGGCGCCCUCUUCGGAGUCCGUGCACAGGUGCUGCAUGGCUGUCGUCAGCUCGUGUCGUGAGAUGUUGGGUUAAGUCCCGCAACGAGCGCAACCCUUGUCCUUAGUUGCCAGCGGGUAAUGCCGGGGACUCUAGGGAGACUGCCGGUGCCAAACCGGAGGAAGGUGG
rnacentral:rRNA from 1 species